CAACGUGCAUUGCACGUUUUCGAAGAAAUUAGGCGGUCGGAUGUUCGACUUCAACAACUAAAUUGGCACCUUGUAUUGAACUUAUCAUGGCUAAAGAUGGAAAAGAUAUAAGUGCAGCUGUAUUAAAAUAUUUGGUGAUGCAAAACAGACCAUUUGCCUUGAACGAUCUGCUUCUGAGCGCUCAACUGAAAGAUUAUGGGAAAACUGCUGUCCAGAAAAGCUUAGAUCAACUGGUUGUGGCAGGGAAAGUUAAAGAAAAAUGUUAUGGAAAGCAAAAAGUUUACGUCAUUGACCAAGAUUUGGUUUCCUCUCCCAACGACCCUGAUAUGGUCCAAAUGGAUUCUAAAAUAGCAGAGUUAACAAAACAGAUUGCUGAGGAUCAAGAAGUCAUUAAACAAGCAGAAACUGAAUUGAAAACCUUGAACUCCACAUUGUCAAUUGAGGAACUUUCUGCACAACUAGAAACGCUUCAAGCUGAAAAUGAGAAAAUGGAAUCUAAACUGAAAGAUUUAUCCCAGAUGAAAAUAAAGAUUUCGGCAUCUGAUUUCAAGAAGGUGAAAGCAACUAAAGAAAAAACUAUGUCUGAAUUACGAAAACGAAAAAGGAUUUGUGUUGAUAUGCUUGACCAAAUACUAGAAAGCUAUCCUAAAGGAAAAAAAGCUUUGCUUGAAGAAGUUGGAAUAGAGCCUGAAUAGUGGAAUCUCUUCUCACUACAUAAUUCCAGCAAAUCAGUCAGCCUUUCUUGUUCCCUAUGGGACAUGGACCAAAUUCUUAUGUUAUGAAAAACUUUAUCUUAUACAUAAAAUGAAAGAUCGAUGGGUCAAGCAGGAAAAAGUUCGCGUAGGAAAAUGAACCAUUAAUUUUAAAAGAAGACGUCGUGUGUUGUAGCAGGC